CGGUGUCCGCGUGCAUGAGCGCGAGCGAGUGAACGCAUCAGCGCUGCUGAAGAAUGAGAGCGAUUCUAAAGAACGGAAGUGGAUCGACCAUUUUGAAACCCCGCACCGCUUUGCACAAUGGAUAAGGGCCAAACAAUAAAGCUCUUCAUAGGAAAUCUGGCCCUGGACACCACGCAAGAAGAACUGUCAGCCAUCUUUGAGGCAUACGGCCAGGUGGUUAGCUGCAGCGUGUUGAGACAGUUUGCUUUCGUACACCUGCAAGGAGAGGGUGCUGCUGAACGUGCCAUCCUGGAGCUCAAUGGCCGAGAGUUCAAAGGACGUAACCUUGUGGUCGAGGAGUCCCGAGGACGCCCACUCCAUUCGACAAAGGUGUUUGUGGGUAAUCUGAGUAGUAUAUGCACUACAGAAGAUCUUCGGGAGCUCUUUCAGACCUUUGGGAAAGUUUUGGAGUGCGAUAAGGUGAAAGGUUAUGCCUUUGUGCACAUGGAGAACAAGGAGGAUGCACUGCAGGCUAUUGAGGCUUUGCAUGGGACCUCCUUCAAAGGACGACCGCUCUCUGUGGAGCUGUCCAAAGUUCAGCCAAGUAAGCAGACUCCAACUGGGAAAAUCCCAUGCGUUAGCUGUGGAAAACAGGGCCAUUAUGCAGGUGAAUGCCCCGCUGGUAAGCCCACGCUGGAGCAGUACCAGAGCCAAGCGGCCGUGUUAGCUGCUGCUGCUGCUGCAGCUGCCGGCCUUCCACUGCAGGUUCAACAGAGUGUCCACAAUUCCGUAUACAACACCUCAACUUUUGACCCCACGUAUGCUGCUUUGACUGGACUUACAGCUGCUGGAGCAAGGGCAGAAGGAGGAACUGCAGUGGCUCCAGCUGUUUAUGGAGCACUAGCUAGUCAAGUCUAUGGAACAGUUUCCAAUCGGCUCUACAGUGGGACAGUUGCAAACCAGGCACUCAACUCUGGUGCUGCUGCAGCUGCCGCACAGAUGUAUGGCUCUGUUAACCCGGCUCUCUAUGGGCAAGUGACAAAUGGUGCAGUUGCAGCCGCAGCAGCAGCCGCUGGUGCAUACGGUCCACAAGUUUACGCACAUGCUUUAGCAAAUCCAGUGUUCCUAACUGCAGCGCACAGCAUGGAAGUACCGGGAGCUGCCGCUGCUGCUGUUAACCCAGCUUAUACAGUAGCUCCGGCUCUCUACAGCGCUACCCCAGCUUACGGGGCUUUUGGUGCAGCUAACUCAGCAGCUUUCUUUGAGGCAGCAAGGGCGCACUACUUUGCACAAGGCCAGCAAGUGCUAGCAGAACAGCAACAGGCUAGCUCAAAGUCUGGAGAAAGGGACAGGAGUCCGCUUAGAAGAUCUGCCCCACUGUUGUCUGACCCUAUUAUGAAACCAUUUAUGUACCAGAGGGCCAAGCGCAGAGCCUUAUUGCCUACGCCUGCGGGUCGAGAGGAAGCCGCUGCACAGGAGGAUGACCCUCUAGCCAGAUACUACGCAGAAUACUACCAGCAGUACCAGCAGCUGCAGCAGUAUCCACAGUACCAGUACUCGUAUCCAUCUCCCAACCCUAUUGCAGCAAUGUCUGCACUGCAGACUCUGCCUGGUGUGCCUACUCAGCCAGUGGCAACGCUCGACUCCCUCAGGCCAGUGCUGCCCGCCGCCCCCGUGUCUGCCGCUGCCGCCAUCGCCAUGGCAACAUCCCGCGUGUAUGAGCCACCGCCGAUUCCGCCGUCGCAUAAGGAGCCACUCCUCCGCCGCCCCGAACUCGCCCUACACACCCCUGAAACACCCUUUCGAUAGUGUGCUCCACAUCCUCUCUGCCUCUCCUUUCCUUGUGCUGCGUGUGUGUGUGUGUGUCAGAAAGAAACCACAGGUGUAUGUUUAUGAUGUGUGUGUGCUUGGGUUUAAGACGGUGGCUGUGUCGGUUUUAACUACAGACUGGAGUCUCUAACCUUGGUUCUGAUCUCAAACACACCCAGUACAGUCAGGGCUGAAAAGGGAAACUUCAUGCUCUCAUUCCUGCACACGUAACCAAUAUAACAUUGUUUGUUUAAAGAAACCUUCAAUCUAUGACCAAUUAGUUUUCAAGUGUAGAUUAGGCACUUGCCAUGAUGCAUUUUAACUUUUAUAUUCCUAAGUGUUUGUAGUCUAUGAAUGAAUACUGGACUUAAUACUAAAUAUUGCUUGAUUAUAGUUAUAUAAACUUUACCAGUUUGCGCAUUAAUACAGUUAUUAUGAAAUUAGAUUUCAAUGCAUUUCAAAAAUGUUUAAAAAAAUUGAAUGUAUAUAUAUUUACUCCAAAGGUGUGUGGAGUGUAGGACCAGGGUUGGACAGUAUUUUACGUCUUUGUGUGUUUCUUGUUUUUCUCUGGGACUGUGGUGUAGCGUGUAUGUUUCCCAUUGGUUGUCACGACAGGAACGCACACGUGUACUCCUGCACAGGGAAGCAACCUCGAUCCACACGCACAUACUUACACCUCAAAUGGGAAAAAGUUUAGUGAUGACCUUUAACCCCACCCUUCCAUCCCUGUCCACCCAUCCUGAAAGCUGAAAGACACUGUGACUUCUCUCCCCUACAACUUUAAUGUAGCUACUUCCAUAGAUAUGGUGAUGUAUGGGAAGCAACCAAUCAGAGGAAGGCGUAGCUAGUCAGCUUUUGCUGUAACCUGUUUUAUAGGAGCGUCUCUAAGCUCGCCAAUUUAACUGCCAUGAUGCAUUGUAGAAUCUGUUUUUGUAAAGUGUCUUUUAUUAAUGCUAUCAUGUUUUAUAAACAAUGAUAAGGGACUCAAGUAUCCAUUUAAUGAGACAUACUACUUUUGAUUGUUAAUUUUUGUUUACAUCUGCAAGAGAGAGAAUGUUUUUUCUCGUGGCUUAUUCAAAGUGAUUGUUCAUAGCCAAAAUUCUCUCAUUUUUUUUUCUAGAAAAACUGCCAAAAUCAUUAGUGGCCUAUUAUUCUUAUGCCUUAUUAACUAAAUUUUUGCUAUUUUUUAUCUGUAGUCUUAUAAAGUGAAACUGGAUUAAGACUACACAAAAGUGCUGUAUAUACUGUGGUACUGUGAUUUGGGAUUAAAUGAAUUGGGAGAUUCCUAUCAGUUUCUUUCAGUCUUCCUGCUCAUUUCGCUGCUGCAACUUCAUAGAUGACCCUCAAUGCAUCUCUCUUCAUAUCUCUUUGCAUCUGCCUCUCAUUUAGUGACAGCAUUUCAUUAAUUUACCAUGCCCCUGUUCGCACCCAUGUGCUGAGGAAGCCAGUGUGUGAAUGUGAUCUUGGAAAACGUUUUGCAUCAACAUUCAUGUUUGUAGUUUCUAUCAUGGUACCGUUCUUGCCGUCAGUGUUCUCAGAAGAGAAGACUUUAAAGAUCUGUACACGAUCUUUACGACUAUAACAAGCCUUCAAAUAAAGAGCCUGCCUGAUCAUUUAAAGAGGGAACUGAAGAGCUUUUGCUAGGAGCUUUAGCUGUUUUUUGCUUUUUGAUGUUUCAUAAUUGUUUUUCCUUUGUGAAACGACCAGACUCGUAUGAAUCGGAGCCCUGAACUAAAGGACUUGAGACUGAUCCCAAUCUAACCCCUCUAUGAAUGGGGUAAGUCUAGGAGCAACCCCACCUUUUACCCCCCAGCUGCACACACCAUACCAAACCCCUUUCCCAGGAGCAGCAAAAUCUUCAACCCAGCUUUUAGUCCCUAUGGAACUGUGGACACCUAAUGCAGAGCUGGUUUGGGGGGAAGAAAGUUAGCGUCGCGCAAUGCACGAGAAACUCUCUCUCGCUCCAUACAGGUAAAGGUACUGUGCCUCGUCCCCUUCUACCUGCCGUCCUUCCCAAUAGCGUUUGCCCCUGACCGUGUAUCCGCUCUAUUUCUCCUCACCACCACCCCACACUUCUUGUAAAUUCCUCACUUUUCCUCACCACUGCCAUAGCCAAUUGGUUCUCUAAACACCAGUGUUAUACUACUCUCUGUCACUGUCAAAAAUGGAGACGGUGGGCGUGACCUUUUAUUGCUUCUGUGAUUAGUGUGUCUCGUUAAUGUGUGGAUGCUUGGUGCUCUAAUAACUGAUCUCUUAGUUUAGUUUUGGAGAGACUGUGGUUAUAAUGUGUCCAUAAGCAAUUGAAUGUGUGGAAUUGCUGGUCAAUGAUUGAAAGACUGCAAUAAAAUGAGUGUUAAGUUAGCAAGGGUGGCUGAUAAAGGUGUGUGACAAAGGUGAUUGAUUGUGAGUGAGUAUCGUAGACCUCACCUACCUACCCCCUUCCCCCUCCUCCGUGUGCCUUUUUGUUUGUUUACAUGAUUUAACGCGUGUCCCCAGGCUUCCUGGAGUCUUCUCGCCGUUAACGCUCAGCUCACCGCCGCCCUCGUCGAAUCCCCAGUGAUAGUUGUUACAUUUGUUCAGUGUUAAUCGCAGCUUGAAUGCAUCCUUGAAAGCUCUGUGACUGGAUCCGAGACACUGUGCAAAAUUUUAUUCGCAAGACUCUCAUUUGGACUCAGUGA